ACCCAGGAUUGAACUCAGGACCUUGCACUUUCGAGGCAGAUGGUAAUAGAACAUGUCCAUAGAGGCAAAGUAGAUGCACAUCCGGGAAGCUGUAUGGUGAGAAGAUGAGAGACCUAGGAGGAAGAGAGCAGUGUUCACUAUAGAAAGUCACAGUCCCUGCCCAGUUUCUGGAGCUGAGCCAGUUGUUCCUGCUCUGCAGAUGGAGGGACCCCAGCGAGAGCCCCACAGACUCACACCCUGUGCCAGCACCCCGUUGCUGUGCCUUCCUCGAGGCAGGGACCAGCGGGCAGGAAGAGGAGUCACUGUCUUGCAGGGUAACUGACCCUGUCAUCAGGAGUGGCUGGCUGCUGUCACCCACAGGAGGGACAGAAGUUCCUGUGAGACCUGUGACCAAGGAGGUGCCCCUUUGUGCUCCCCUGGCGCAGUGCAGGGAUAGGUGAGCGGCACAGCAACCCCAGGCUGAGAAGGAAGUGAAGACGGGACUCGGCCCCUCCCUGGGAGUAUCUGUGGACAGCUUGGGUGUGAGCAUCUGCUCCCUCCCUGAGCCCAGCAGCAGCUGUGAGGACUGUGGUCUGUCUGUCUCCUGACCCUGCUUCCCAUGGCUUGUGUGGAAGAAAGGCCCUGGGCAGAACCUGAAUGGGUGACUCAGAGUGGGCUGCAGAGGACGGGAGUCACCAGGGCCGCUCCUUGGCUCCGUUGGCCUUGCAUGGCAGUUUGCUGGGCAGUGUACCUGAUGCAGCGUAAAGAGAAAGACAAAGCUGGGAUAGACAGAAGACCUUGGGAAGGUGCAUCUAAUCAACACUAUGUUGCAUUCAUCAAACUGUGGCUCUGACGGCUGAAUCAGAAGGGUUUCCGGUUUAAGCUGUAAUAACUUCCCUACCUGUGAAUCAUCCUUCCUCCUGUGACAAAUUUUUACAGUUCUUCUAAUGCAUUUGGGACCCAUCUCAAAGAAACCUGCAGCUUUCCUCACGGCUCCUCAUGCUCUCUCCUGCUAAGGACUGUAGCCCUUUUCCGCUGUUUCAAAAGUCUUCUGUGGCAGGCAUGGUGACACAGGCCUAUAAUCCCAGUACACUUGAGGCUGAGGCAGGAGGAUUGCCACAAGUUCGAGGUAAGCCUGGGCUAUACAGUGAGUUCAAGGCCAGCCUGAACUGCAUAACAAGAUCUUGUCUUAAAACAUGGGGGGGACUUUUCACUUCACAACUAUGUCCAUUACUAACAAGUGUUAUUUCUGAACAAUAAUUUUAUCAACCAUAUCAUGAUCAUUAAAAGUUACAAAAGCA